rnacentral:rRNA from 1 species
UACGUAGGGGGCAAGCGUUGUCCGGAUUUAUUGGGCGUAAAGAGCGUGUAGGCGGCCUGACAGGUCUGUUGUGAAAACUCGAGGCUCAACCUCGAGAUGUCGGCGGAAACCGUCUGGCUAGAGUCCGGAAGAGGAGAGUGGAAUUCCUGGUGUAGCGGUGAAAUGCGCAGAUAUCAGGAAGAACACCUAUGGCGAAGGCAGCUCUCUGGGACGGUACUGACGCUGAGACGCGAAAGCGUGGGGAGCGAACAGG